AAAUUGACAGACAAAGACAGAUUUUUAAAUCAGUAUUGCAAAAAAAAUCAGUAUUGCAAAAAAUAAUCAUAUUCAUAACCCCUGUUCAACCUCGGUAGUCAGCCAUCUUGAUCAUCAUCAUCAUCAUUGCUCUUCGUCCCGUGUGGGACAUAAGGCCGAUAAGGACAUAAAGCCAUCUUGAUAAAGUUUGAAAAUUACACGGCACGUAUGGAAGGCGGGGAGACCAUAAGGGGAUAAGCCAGCAUUGCUUUUAAAACGGCUGCGGCUCUCCAAAGUAUUGACACUAGUGAUUCUGACGGUGAUACUCAUCAGAUGCUUAAUAUGUCGAAGGAGGGACAGAAAAACAGCAAGGUGGAUCUCGGUUUUUCCUUGCACACGAUUGACGAACAAAUAGGGUCAAAGACAUGCACGUGUACGUUACUAGUAUAUUGAACUUCUGUAUCGUCGACAUGAAAUUAUCAACACAACAUAAUACACACACAGAAUACAGAACCAUAGGAGAGAGAGAGAGAGAGCGAGAGGCACGAAUGCUUUGUCGAAUCUGAAGUCCACAUAUGUGAAAUCAUGCAACUUUCAUUUUGGUGUAAAUUCUCUUUGAAGGAAAGAGACGCGUGGGAUAAUGAUUUGUCACGAGAUUGUCAUGAAAAGAGUUAUGAGGAAACACAUGUACACUCAAAUUACUUCCUUAGUGGGGGUAUGUGGGAUUUUUAAAUUUGACUUUGAAAUCAAACUAAAGCUGAUAACGAAGCAGCUCGUCGGUUUGAUUAGAACGCGGAUGUGCAGAAAGAAAACACAGAUAAACGCCGGUUGUCGCGACGCCUGUUCAUAUCUAACCAAAUAAAUGUACAUGUGCUCUAAAUAUGAAUCAAGGGAUUCUAUCUGAAUAUUUUUUUAAAAAUUUAUUCACCAGAAUCUGAAUACACCUCCUUGUCCAAACUGAACUUUUAAGUAAAAAAUUUAAAAAUGAGAAAUUUUGAAAUGCGUUGUAGUAGGCUAUUUAUUGAUAUAAUGCUAUUAUAAGCAUCGAACUGGAAUAAAAUGAGUCCAAUCCAA